UUAAGCAGAAGAGGAGCACUGCCCAGGCAGGUAUUUUGUGGAGCCUCAACUCCAAGACAGAAUAUUCAGGGGGAGUAGUGCCGAGACAGUUCAUAGUUGUGGAUUUGGAUUGUCGGGUGAAUGGGCUGAAUCCCAUCAACUGUCAUCAGUGCUAACUGAUGAAGAGCUUCUGAGGUC
rfam:Vibrio sp. MEBiC08052 genomic scaffold scaffold00003, whole genome shotgun sequence.